UACGUAGGGUGCGAGCGUUGUCCGGAAUUAUUGGGCGUAAAGGGCUCGUAGGCGGUCUGUCACGUCGGGAGUGAAAACACGGGGCUUAACCCCGUGCCUGCUUCCGAUACGGGCAGACUAGAGGUAUGCAGGGGAGAACGGAAUUCCUGGUGUAGCGGUGAAAUGCGCAGAUAUCAGGAGGAACACCGGUGGCGAAGGCGGCUUCCUGGUCUGCAACUGACGCUGUGGCGCGAAAGCUAGGGGAGCAAACGGG
rnacentral:rRNA from 1 species